rnacentral:rRNA from 1 species
AUUGAACGCUGGCGGCAGGCCUAACACAUGCAAGUCGAACGAGUGGCGGACGGGUGAGUAAUGUGUGGGAAACCGCCCGAUGGAGGGGGAUAAAUACUGGAAACGGUCUCUUAUACCGCAUACCAUCGGAUGUGCCCAGAUGGGAUUAGCUAGUAGGUGGGGUAACGGCUCACCUAGGCGACGAGCCCUCGCUGGUCUGAGAGGAUGACCAGCCACACUGGAACUGAGACAGGGUCCAGACCCCUACGGGAGGCAGCAGUGGGGAAUAUUGCACAAUGGGCGAAAGCCUGAUGCAGCCAUGCCGCGUGUAUGAAGAAGGCCUUAGGGUUGUAAAGUACUUUCAGCGGGGAGGCGUUACCCGCAGAAGAAGCACCGGCUAACUCCGUGCCAGCCGCCGCGGUAAUUC